ACUGCAUGGGAGAAGCUCAUAAGAGGAUUUUUAGGGUAACCUCUGCAUGGGGAAGAAAAAAAGAGAAUAUUUUAGGGAAUAUAAUUAUAAACCAUAAGAUAGAAGAAUUACUUGUUGGGAAAUAAUUCCACGAGCACACGCGGGGUAAGAACUCUUUUUAGAGAAAUACGGCCGACUUAAAAGAGGAUUGACCUAGAUGCUUAUGAUUGACCAUGGAU
rnacentral:lncRNA from 1 species